GACGAACGCUGGCGGCGUGCUUAACACAUGCAAGUCGAACGGAAAGGCCCUGCUUUUGUGGGGUGCUCGAGUGGCGAACGGGUGAGUAACACGUGAGUAACCUGCCCUUGACUUUGGGAUAACUUCAGGAAACUGGGGCUAAUACCGGAUAGGAGCUCCUGCUGCAUGGUGGGGGUUGGAAAGUUUCGGCGGUUGGGGAUGGACUCGCGGCUUAUCAGCUUGUUGGUGGGGUAGUGGCUUACCCAGGCUUUGACGGGUAGCCGGCCUGAGAGGGUGACCGGCCACAUUGGGACUGAGAUACGGCCCAGACUCCUACGGGAGGCAGCAGUGGGGAAUAUUGCACAAUGGGCGGAAGCGUGAUGCAGCAACGCCGCGUGCGGGAUGACGGCCUUCGGGUUGUAAACCGCUUUCGCCUGUGACGAAGCGUGAGUGACGGUAAUGGGUAAAGAAGCACCGGCUAACUACGUG
rnacentral:rRNA from 1 species